rnacentral:rRNA from 1 species
UGGGGAAUAUUGCACAAUGGGCGCAAGCCUGAUGCAGCCAUGCCGCGUGUGUGAAGAAGGCCUUCGGGUUGUAAAGCACUUUCAGCGAGGAGGAAGGGUAGUGUGUUAAUAGCACAUUGCAUUGACGUUACUCGCAGAAGAAGCACCGGCUAACUCCGUGCCAGCAGCCGCGGUAAUACGGAGGGUGCAAGCGUUAAUCGGAAUUACUGGGCGUAAAGCGCACGCAGGCGGUUUGUUAAGUCAGAUGUGAAAUCCCCGCGCUUAACGUGGGAACUGCAUUUGAAACUG